rnacentral:misc_RNA from 1 species
UAUCUGUAGGUGAACCUGCAGAUGGAUCAUCACUGAUUCUUUAACCUGGCACUUGUGCCACAAGGUGUGGCUCCGCACCUUUCAACUAAACUGGGCUACCAUUUUACACACGGUUGCAUCUGUCGGGGCUUCGGCGCCGACUAUACACACACACGCUGAUCUAUAGUAUUUGUAUGGAUAAUGACUGGUAAUGCGGUCGUAUAAUCAAUAAACAACUUUUGGCAACGGAUCUCUUGGUUCUGGCAUCGAUGAAGAACGCAGC